rnacentral:hammerhead_ribozyme from 1 species
AUCCAGCUGACGAGUCCAAAAAAGGACGAAACGCGCGUGCUGGAU